rnacentral:rRNA from 1 species
AACGAACGCUGGCGGCAUGCCUAACACAUGCAAGUCGAACGAGAUCUUCGGGUCUAGUGGCGCACGGGCGCGUAACGCGUGGGAAUCUGCCCUUUGGUUCGGAAUAACAGUGGGAAACGACUGCUAAUACCGGAUGAUGACGAAAGUCCAAAGAUUUAUCGCCAGAGGAUGAGCCCGCGUAGGAUUAGCUAGUUGGUGUGGUAAAGGCGCACCAAGGCGACGAUCCUUAGCUGGUCUGAGAGGAUGAUCAGCCACACUGGGACUGAGACGCGGCCCAGACUCCUACGGGAGGCAGCAGUGGGGAAUAUUGGACAAUGGGCGAAAGCCUGAUCCAGCAAUGCCGCGUGAGUGAUGAAGGCCUUAGGGUUGUAAAGCUCUUUUACCCGGGAUGAUAAUGACAGUACCGGGAGAAUAAGCUCCGGCUAACUCCGUGCCAGCAGCCGCCGUAA